CUAAUCUCAGGAUAACAAACAACUUUAGCCUUCAGUGAUCACAAAUCCCUCAUUUUCCGGGCUUUCAUUUUAUCUCUUGCAAAACAAAUAUGAAAAAAUUAUCACCCUUUUUCCCCAUCACAGGGCCUCGUUCUCUGUCAUGUACCUAUUGAUUCAUCAGCAGCAAGAGGCUUCUAAAUGAGGGUGAUGAGAACCUGCAUAUUGUAACAGGUCUCCCCCAGAAGGCUACAAUUUUGCCAUUUACCAACGGGGUUAGAAUCGCUGCUUUCCUGCCAGGGCGAAGCUAGUUCUCUGUCUGUUAUUCUCACCUCCGUAGGCAACCCUCCAGAAAAUCCUUUGUGUUAUUCAAAACUUUGAAAUUGUGCCUCAGUAUACGUAUGAAUGAGUCCUAUGUGCUUGCACAGUCAAAUGGUCAUUUGGUACAAGUCGCCCGUUAAAUGUCAUGCAAAUGUAAAUUAAAUUUGAGAAAUGUAAAUUAGUAUUUUGAAAUGUAGAAAGUAGCCAGGGUAGUCUGGAGCUAUGGAACUAGAGCCCCAUGCAUGCUAAUUCUAACUCUGGAAGUAGCUUAUUUCACGAGUUUGACCUCACUUCCAUUUUUUCUCUUCCGGCUCUUACUUACUACAUCUCUCCUUUUCCCUCAUCUGCCCUUCUCCCUCUGUGUCAGCCCAUGGACUCAUCCCUCUGUCUGUCCAGAUGUAAAAUGGAGACAGGAAACACGGAUUCAAACAUCUGGUAUCUGGAUCAUAAUCACAGAGUGUUGCCCAGGAAGAAAAGUUUGAAAACACAUAGAAGAAAAUAACUAGCGAGGGACUUCUAGGAGUAUGUAGAUAAUGACACUGCACAUGGGACCUGUUACUUUGUUCCUGUUUUCACACCCACACUUUAUUAAAUAAGGGAGAUUCAGGAAUUGUUUUCACAUGAUGCCUUCAGUUUUCUGUCUUCUCCUCAAGUUCACAGGACAGUGGUGAUGAUACUGAGUAGAAGACAAAGUCAUAACAUCACUGUACAUUUGAAUGGAGGGGAUUUAGAAACCAUCCACCCAGUGCAUGAAUUCCUCUCUACAAGAUCAGAGAUGUUGGGGAAAGACCUUUACAUACGUAACCUCAUCUAAAUCCAUUUGAAGGAUCGUAAACCAUUUUAAGGAUAAAGUAAUGAAGAAACUUCCAUGGGGACCGAGAGCUACUUAGUUCUAUCUGAAACUAAAUACACUUCUCGUGGAAAAUGUUCUUAAUGGACACUAACAGGAGCAAAAUGACAGGCAUAGAAAUGACAACAUGGAAUCCCAAAAUUCUGAAGCAGAGAGCUAACAUCACAAAGCAACCAAGUAACCUGAAAUAUAAGAAGAGACAGGCCCCUCCAAAGAGAAAGGAAGUGAUCUCUGGCUCAGUUCUAAGAGAAUAUGUGGGGAAGAGAUGCUGAGC